ensembl:Mt_tRNA
AGGUUUUUAGUUUAAACAAAACACUUGAUUUCGACUCAAAAGCUUAUGGUUUAACCCCAUAACUACCUU